AGAGCCCAUGCAUAAACCAUUUGGUUUUGCAAUUAAAAACAGGUUUGACUUCCUUCUGCAACAGUAAGACAACGUCAAAGCAACAAUCAUCCCGAAAAUUUUCCCUUGUGAAUUCAAAUGAACUAUUGACUCCACCUCCAGAUAAACAAGAUCAAACAACCUGGUCUUUUUUCCUCUGCCUUUGUGACUAACCAAAGCCUGAAGUUCUCAGCAGUACUUUCCUAAUUGGCUUCAUCAUUUUGUUAUUGUGCUU
rnacentral:lncRNA from 1 species